rnacentral:rRNA from 1 species
UACGGAGGGUGCAGGCGUUAUCCGGAUUCACUGGGUUUAAAGGGUGCGUAGGCGGGCAUUUAAGUCAGUGGUGAAAUACCUGAGCUUAACUUGGGAACUGCCAUUGAUACUAUUUGUCUUGAAUGUCGUGGAGGUUAGCGGAAUAUGUCAUGUAGCGGUGAAAUGCUUAGAUAUGACAUAGAACACCUAUUGCGAAGGCAGCUAACUACGCGAAUAUUGACGCUGAGGCACGAAAGCGUGGGGAUCAAACAGG